UACGUAGGGUGCAAGCGUUGUCCGGAAUUAUUGGGCGUAAAGAGCUCGUAGGCGGUUCGUCGCGUCGGCUGUGAAAUCCCGAGGCUCAACCUCGGGUCUGCAGUCGAUACGGGCGGACUGGAGUACUGCAGGGGAGACUGGAAUUCCUGGUGUAGCGGUGAAAUGCGCAGAUAUCAGGAGGAACACCGGUGGCGAAGGCGGGUCUCUGGGCAGUUACUGACGCUGAUGCGCGAAAGCCAGGGGAGCAAACGGG
rnacentral:rRNA from 1 species